GACGAACGCUGGCGGCGUGCCUAACACAUGCAAGUUGAGCGACGAACCAGGGCUUGCCCUGGGGCAAAGCAGCGAACGGGUGAGUAACACGUGGGUAACCUGCCCCGAUAACCGGGACAACCCGAGGAAACUCGGGCUAAUACCGGAUGUGCUCGCCGGACACCAGUCCGGCGCGUACAGGAAGCUUCGGCCUCCGUAUCGGGAGGGGCCCGCGGCCCAUUAGCUAGUUGGUGAGGUAACGUCUCACCAAGGCCGCGAUGGGUAGCUGGUCUGAGAGGACGAUCAGCCACACUGGGACUGAGACACGGCCCAGACUCCUACGGGAGGCAGCAGUGGGGAAUCUUGCGCAAUGCGCGAAAGCGUGACGCAGCAACGCCGCGUGGGGGAAGAAGGCCUUCGGGUCGUAAACCCCUUUCAGGAGGGACGAAGGUUCGGCGGUGAAUAGCCGUCCGGACUGACGGUACCUCCACAAGAAGCCCCGGCUAACUACGUGCCAGCCGCCGCCGUAA
rnacentral:rRNA from 1 species